UAGGGAAUCUUCGGCAAUGGACGGAAGUCUGACCGAGCAACGCCGCCGUGAGUGAAGAAGGUUUUCGGAUCGUAAAGCUCUGUUGUAAGAGAAGAACGAGUGUGAGAGUGGAAAGUUCACACUGUGACGGUAUCUUACCAGAAAGGGACGGCUAACUACGUGCCAGCAGCCGCGGUAAUACGUAGGUCCCGAGCGUUGUCCGGAUUUAUUGGCGUAAAGCGAGCGCAGGCGGUUAGAUAAGUCUGAAGUUAAAGGCUGUGGCUUAACCAUAGUAGGCUUUGGAAACUGUUUAACUUGAGUGCAAGAGGGGAGAGUGGAAUUCCAUGUGUAGCGGUGAAAUGCGUAGAUAUAUGGAGGAACACCGGUGGCGAAAGCGGCUCUCUGGCUUGUAACUGACGCUGAGGCUCGAAAGCGUGGGGAGCAAACAGGAUUAGAUACCCUGGUAGUCCACGCUGUAAACGAUGAGUGCUAGGUGUUAGACCCUUUCCGGGGUUUAGUGCCGUAGCUAACGCAUUAAGCACUCCGCCUGGGGAGUACGACCGCAAGGUUG
rnacentral:rRNA from 1 species